rnacentral:rRNA from 1 species
AAUAUUGCACAAUGGGCGCAAGCCUGAUGCAGCAACGCCGCGUGAGCGAUGAAGGCCUUUGGGUCGUAAAGCUCUGUCCUUCGGGAAGGAUAAAUGACGGUACCCUUGGUGGAAGUCCCGGCUAACUACGUGCCAGCAGCCGCGGUAAUACGUAGGGGGCAAGCGUUAUCCGGAAUUAUUGCGCGUAAAGAGUGCGUAGGUGGUUUUGUAAGCGCGGGGUGAAAGGCAAUGGCUCAACCAUUGUAAGCCUUGCGAACUGCAAGGCUUGAGUGCAGGAGAGGAAAGUGGAAUUCAUAGUGUAGCGGUGAAAUGCGUAGAUAUUAGGAGGAACACCAGUGGCGAAGGCGACUUUCUGGACUGUAACUGACACUGAGGCACGAAAGCGUGGGGAGCAAACAGG